GAUGAACGCUGGCGGCGUGCCUAAUACAUGCAAGUCGAGCGAACAGACGAGGAGCUUGCUCCUCUGACGUUAGCGGCGGACGGGUGAGUAACACGUGGAUAACCUACCUAUAAGACUGGGAUAACUUCGGGAAACCGGAGCUAAUACCGGAUAAUAUAUUGAACCGCAUGGUUCAAUAGUGAAAGACGGUUUUGCUGUCACUUAUAGAUGGAUCCGCGCCGCAUUAGCUAGUUGGUAAGGUAACGGCUUACCAAGGCAACGAUGCGUAGCCGACCUGAGAGGGUGAUCGGCCACACUGGAACUGGAACACGGUCCAGACUCCUAAGGGAGGCAGCAGUAGGGAAUCUUCCGCAAUGGGCGAAAGCCUGACGGAGCAACGCCGCGUGAGUGAUGAAGGUCUUCGGAUCGUAAAACUCUGUUAUUAGGGAAGAACAAAUGUGUAAGUAACUAUGCACGUCUUGACGGUACCUAAUCAGAAAGCCACGGCUAACUACGUG
rnacentral:rRNA from 1 species